rnacentral:tRNA from 1 species
GGAGAAGUACCCAAGUGGCUCAAGGGGACCCCCUGCUAAGGGGUUAGUACGUUUAUAGCGUAGCACGAGUUCAAAUCUCGUCUUCUCCGCCA